UAGAGAUUAGUUAAAAAUAACAUUAAUUUGUCAAAUUAAAAUUACUUAUGUAUCUCUAA
rnacentral:tRNA from 1 species